rnacentral:rRNA from 1 species
ACUCUAAGCGGUGGAUCACUCGCUCAUGGGUCGAUGAAGAACGCAGCAAACUGUGCGUCAUCGUGUGAACUGCAGACACAUGAACAUCGACAUUUUGAACGCAUAUCGCAGUCCAUGCUGUUAUGUACUUUAAUUAAUUUUAUAGUGCUGCUUGGACUACAUAUGGUUGAGGGUUGUAAGACUAUGCUAAUUAAGUUGCUUAUAAAUUUUUAUAAGCAUAUGGUAUAUUAUUGGAUAAAUAUAAUAAUUUUUUAUUCAUAAUAUUAAAAAAUAAAUGAAAAACAUUAUCUCACAUUUGAAUGUGAAAAACGAAGAGAAAUAUUUUCUUUUUCAAUCAAAUAAUACUGAGAAAAUGUCUAGCAUAAAAAAUUGAAAUAUUUUUCAUCUAGAAUUGUCUCUUAUUAAUGAAUUCGGAAAUAGAAAAAUCUUGGUUUAUGUUAUUAUUCUUCGUUGGUUCGUUAAAAAUGGAUAAAAUAAAAAACUUUGCAUACAAGAAUUAAUAAAAAUGUUAUAACGAAUUUAAUUAAAUGUUUUAUCAUUAUAUAUAAAGAAUUUAUGGCAAGAUAAAGUUAUAUACAACCUCAACUCAUAUGGGACUACCCCCUGAAUUUAAGCAUAUUAAUUAGGGGAGGAAAAGAAACUAACAAGGAUUUUCUUAGUAGCGGCGAGCGAAAAGAAAACAGUUCAGCACUAAGUCACUUUGUCUAUAUGGCAAAUGUGAGAUGCAGUGUAUGGAGGCGUCAAUAUUCUAGUAUGAGAAAUUAACGAUUUAAGUCCUUCUUAAAUGAGGCCAUUUACCCAUAGAGGGUGGCCAGGCCCGUAUAACGUUAAUGAUUACUAGAUGAUGUUUCCAAAGAGUCGUGUUGCUUGAUAGUGCAGCACUAAGUGGGUGGUAAACUCCAUCUAAAACUAAAUAUAACCAUGAGACCGAUAGUAAACAAGUACCGUGAGGGAAAGUUGAAAAGAACUCUGAAUAGAGAGUUAAACAGUACGUGAAACUGCUUAGAGGUUAAGCCCGAUGAACCUGAAUAUCCGUUAUGGAAAAUUCAUCAUUAAAAUUGUAAUAUUUAAAUAAUAUUAUGAGAAUAUGUGCAUUUUUCCAUAUAAGGACAUUGUAAUCUAUUAGCAUAUACCAAAUUUAUCAUAAAAUAUAACUUAUAGUUUAUUCCAAUUAAAUUGCUUGCAUUUUAACACAGAAUAAAUGUUAUUAAUUUGAUAAAGUGCUGAUAGAUUUAUAUGAUUACAGUGCGUUAAUUUUUCGGAAUUAUAUAAUGGCAUAAUUAUCAUUGAUUUUUGUGUUUAUUAUAUGCACUUGUAUGAUUAACAAUGCGAAAGAUUCAGGAUACCUUCGGGACCCGUCCUUGAAACACGGACCAAGGAGUCUAACAUAUGUGCAAGUUAUUGGGAUAUAAACCCUAAUAGCGUAAUUAACUUGACUAAUAAUGGAUUAGUUUUUUUAGCUAUUUAUAGCUAAUUAACACAAUCCCGGGGCGUUCUAUUAUAGUUAUGUAUAAUGUAUAUUUAUAUUAUUUUAUGCCUCUAACUGGAACGUACCUUGAGCAUAUAUGCUGUGACCCGAAAGAUGGUGAACUAUACUUGAUCAGGUUGAAAGUCAGGGGAAAACCCUGAUGGAAGACCGAACACAGUUCUGACGUGCAAAUCGAUUGUCAGAAUUGAGUAUAGGGGCGAAAGACCAAUCGAACCAUCUAGUAGCUGGUUCCUUCCGAAGUUUCCCUCAGGAUAGCUGGUGCAUUUUAAUAUUAUAUAAAAUAAUCUUAUCUGGUAAAGCGAAUGAUUAGAGGCCUUAGGGUCGAAACGAUCUUAACCUAUUCUCAAACUUUAAAUGGGUAAGAACCUUAACUUUCUUGAUAUGAAGUUCAAGGUUAUGAUAUAAUGUGCCCAGUGGGCCACUUUUGGUAAGCAGAACUGGCGCUGUGGGAUGAACCAAACGUAAUGUUACGGUGCCCAAAUUAACAACUCAUGCAGAUACCAUGAAAGGCGUUGGUUGCUUAAAACAGCAGGACGGUGAUCAUGGAAGUCGAAAUCCGCUAAGGAGUGUGUAACAACUCACCUGCCGAAGCAACUAGCCCUUAAAAUGGAUGGCGCUUAAGUUGUAUACCUAUACAUUACCGCUAAAGUAGAUGAUUUAUAUUACUUGUGAUAUAAAUUUUGAAACUUUAGUGAGUAGGAAGGUACAAUGGUUAUGCGUAGAAGUGUUUGGCGUAAGCCUGCAUGGAGCUGCCAUUGGUACAGAUCUUGGUGGUAGUAGCAAAUAAUCGAAUGAGACCUUGGAGGACUGAAGUGGAGAAGGGUUUCGUGUGAACAGUGGUUGAUCACGAGUUAGUCGGUCCUAAGUUCAAGGCGAAAGCCGAAAAUUUUCAAGUAAAACAAAAAUGCCUAACUAUAUAAACAAAGCGAAUUAUAAUACACUUGAAUAAUUUUGAACGAAAGGGAAUACGGUUCCAAUUCCGUAACCUGUUGAGUAUCCGUUUGUUAUUAAAUAUGGGCCUCGUGCUCAUCCUGGCAACAGGAACGACCAUAAAGAAGCCGUCGAGAGAUAUCGGAAGAGUUUCUUUUCUGUUUUAUAGCCGUACUACCAUGGAAGUCUUUCGCAGAGAGAUAUGGUAGAUGGGCUAGAAGAGCAUGACAUAUACUGUUGUGUCGAUAUUUUCUCCUCGGACCUUGAAAAUUUAUGGUGG